AUGGCUUCGGCGGCGGCGGCGACUCAAGUGGGCACUUACUUCCUCCGCAACUACUACAAUCUGUUGCAGCAGAACCCCGAUGUCGUCCACCAGUUCUACAGCGAAGCAAGCACCAUGGUCCGCGUCGACGACCUCAACGGGACCAACACCACUGCUAACUCAAUGAUGGAUAUACACUCCCUUAUCAUGUCCCUCAAUUUCACCCAAAUCGAGAUAAAAACUGCCAACUUUGCCAACUCAUGGGGAGAUGGGGUGCUAGUGAUGGUCUCUGGUCUUGUACAGACCAAAGAGUACAGCAACCAAAGGAAAUUUAUCCAGAUGUUUUUCCUUGCGCCUCAGGAGAAAGGUUAUUUUGUGCUCAAUGAUUAUUUCCACUUUGUUGACCAAGAACAAGUGCAACCUGCACAGGUGAGAGCUCACGAAGCCUUUGAGACUAACAUGGCAUCCAACACAGUCCAAACAAGUGCAGAGUACAUUCAUGAAGAAAGUCGAACAAUGCAAGCUGUUCCAGUAACAUCUGAAGAAAAUGAUGCUGUUGACAGUUACACUUACUCUGAGCCACCACUGCAAGUAGUUUCUCAGUCGGACAACUGGGGAGAUGAAUCUCUUCAAGAGGAAGCACUUUCUUCCUUCUCGAAUGGAAUGGCGAUGGCACCAGAGGAGCCAGCACAACCUCCGCCUGUGCAGCCUCAUGUUGAGGAACCUGUUGGGGAGCCCGUAAAGAAGACAUAUGCUUCUAUUCUAAGAACCGCAAAAGCCCCACCUCCGUUCCCUUUUGCUCAAUCAGCGCCUGUGAAUAAACCUCACCCUACAACAGAAGCAAGCCAGGCAACUCUAGGGACUUCAUCGGUGGCAGCAGAUAAGCCAAAAUCUGACUUCUACGCAGAAGGCCAUGAUGAAGAAGAGAGCAAAUCUGUUUAUGUUGGGAAUGUGCCGCAAAAUGUAACUGAGGCUGAUCUUGAGAAUGAGUUCAAGAAGUUUGGCCAGCUCAUCCCUGAUGGUGUUGCUAUCAGAAGCCGAAAGGAGACUGGUGGCUACUAUGCUUUUGUGGAAUUCGAGGAACUGAGUGGCGUUCACAAUGCAUUGAGGGCUUCACCACUUGAAAUAAAUGGGCGGCAGAUAUAUGUCGAGGAGCGGAAGCCUAACAGUGGAAUAAGGGGAGGAAGAAGGGGGGGAGGCAGAGGUCGCUUUGGCGGCAGUGGCAGAGGAUAUGCGAGAGGUGACGAGUACAGCGGUAGCCGUGGAAAGUCGAAUGGUUAUCAGCGUGUCCCUCACCACGAGAGGGGCAUUUUGGGGGCAAGGAACUGA
rnacentral:rRNA from 1 species